rnacentral:misc_RNA from 1 species
UAAAAUAAUUAAUUAAAAAUGUAUUAAAUAUAAAAAUAAAUUUAAUAGUAUUGAAAUUCUUGCUUCUAGAGAGAAAUACACUUUUCUUUCUCUUAAGUUAAAAUGAACAAAGAACAAGCAACAGCUUACACGACUACCGAGGAAAUAAUUAAGAAAACCACAGUCAAGAAGAAUGAUAAAGUUCUCUACUAUUAUCCAUGUUACUGUAAUAAUAUGGCAAAGUGUUAGAGAAUCAAUGGUUUCAAAAUCUGCUCAAAUAAGCCGGACUUCUUCCUAAUUACUCUCAAGUCCCAAUCUAACCGUCACAGCGAAUUAGAGCCGUCACAUAAAGUCGCUCCACAACAUUAAAAAAUUCGAUAGUCCACUUGGUAAUAUUGCUCAAAAUUCUAAAUUCCUGCCCAAUCAAAUGAAUUCUAGUCCCAAUAUUAGUUGAGGCAGUCAUCAUCCUCUAAAGAACCAUUUGCUUUGAUUCAUGGUGGCAGUUUAGAGUUCAUCAUGGCCCUGUGGUUGUUCUCGGUUCACCAGUUCUAGUUUAUCCUCCAAUUCCUUAAGCUUUUCGUCCAGGCAAAGAGCUGGGGUAGAUAAGAAUGCUACAUAUUCGCAACGGCUUGGUUCAUCUAUGUCUGUAAGCUCAUUUUUCAAUCCACAUCUCAGCUUGACCUUUAAACUUCUAGCAGGUCCAUUCCAGCACCUGUCACCAUUUGAAAAUAUCAUGGUCCGGUACAAAUCCUCGAAUUUGUCCCAACGCCCCAAACUAGUUGUUGUAUGGCCCUCCACCUGGGAAGCUUGUUUGAAUGGGCAUACUUUGUAAACAUACCUGAAAGCAAGAAUUUGAGUCGUCAAAGGUAAAAUAAAUGGAUGAUAACAAUUGAGAAUGCUUUCAAAUAAACAAGAGUAUGUUAAAAAAAAAGGUUGAUGUUCGCAACUUGUUCUGUUUGCUCUCAAAACAGUGAUCGUAGAAUGAAUAGAACUCUUUCUCUGUUCCUGCAAUAUUAACUUUAUGGUCAGCUUUUGAAAGCAGGCAGGCUAAUGCUGGAAGAUGCCGGGAUUCAAUUUAUCAUGUACUAACCAAAAUCAUGUUUUAAUUUUUGUGUCAAACUUGAUAUCCUUGACUGUAUUUUAGAUAACUUGGUGCUGGAUUCUUCAUAUUCCUUGCGUAUGUGAGCAGCCUCUAAAGAAACCAAAAGGUAACAGAGGACCAAAUAUGUACACACCCGUCACAUUUUAGCUACUACACAACAACAUAAAAGCUCUGAAAUAUACCUGAUUUGUCCACUGGAGUUUGGAAGAUAUUAACAGCAUGCAGAAUGUUACGAACAGUUUGUUGUAUCUUCUCCAACCAAGAUGGGUUGCUUGACGAGGUUAUAUCUGACAAGUCUAUGUCAUCCUCAGGGUCAGGCUUAUAGGAAGAUCCAGUAUCAUCAUGAGCAUCCUCUUCAUAAGUCUCAUCCAUAUCAUCUUCUGUAUCAACAUCAUCAUACUUUCCAGUGUCAUCAUCAGUUUCCGAAGCAUAGCCAUCAUAUUCCUCAUCAUGCAUGUCUGGUGGCAUCUCUUCAUGAUCUUCAUGGUUUCCAUGGUCAUCCUUUGCCACAUCAACUGCCUCAGUUUUACUCUCAGAACUUCCUGUCCAGCGAGAAGCAACAAGGCGGCCCAGCUCUUCCUUUGACAAACCUUCAGUAUUUUUUGAUAAAUCAUUUUCCACUUUCACAGCAUGAUCAUGAGACACCUCAGUCCCAGUAUCGUGAUCAAUUACACUCACAACUGCAGAGUCAUCCUUGCUUUCUGGUGAGAUGGAAUUUUCCUCCUCUUGUGCCACAUGCUGCUUCACUUCAUUUACUGGUGAUCCUUCAAUUUUGGAACUAUCAGCUAUUUCAGCAACAGCUGCAUAAUCAGUAUGCUCCCCAACCUCAUCCUGAUCCAAAGGUGACUCAUCCAGAACACCAAUUUUAUCACCAUCGACACGUUCCACAGGAUUGUCUCCAACAUUAUAUUUCUCCAUGGCCUCUCCUUUUUCUUGUUGAGCUUCCACUUCAACUCCACUUUUCUCCCUAUCAGCUUUUCCUUCAGCUUCAAUUUUUUCUCUUUCUUCCUUUUCUUUCUGUAAGCGUUCUUUCUCUUCUGCUUUCUCUAUCUGUUCUUUACGCUCUUUAAGCUGCUGAACUAGCCCUUUGAGUAUGUUCUCCUCAUCUAUUAGCUUUGAUAGUUCUGCCUCAUCUUUGGUGAUUGCUAGUUUUGCCUGCUCAACUUCCUGCUUUCUCAAAACAACUCCCUCCUUAUAUGUUGCAAUCUUUUUCCUUAACUUGUCUCUUGCCACUUUUCCAGCCUCCCAGCAUGUAUUUCGGCAAUUAACUUGCCCAUCAUAUUCAUCACUCCCAUCACAGCAGUCACAGAUCCCAUCAUUGACUCUUGAAGAAAAUAACAAAACAGGAAUAUGUCCUGGAUUUCGACAAUAGAAUUUUCCCUCUGGGCAAGCCGAUGUGCCUGGCUCGUCAGUGCCGUCAAGGCAAUCACAAAAGUCAUCGUUGAGCUGAGCUUUGGUGAAUUUCUUCGAUCCAUCUUUACAUUUUAUCGUCUCUGAUGAUAUCUUGUAGUAUUUCUCAUCUUGAGGAGGAAUUCCAAGAAAUGGGUCUUUAGGGACGGCAGAUUUAGCAAUGGAAGAUAUACACAACACUCCCAGCACAAGACCAUACAUCAACACUGAAGCAUCCAUUUUCAUUUUCGCUAAAUUAGUUGAAAAUUCACUAAACACGAUCAAUUAUAGCAUCUAAUACAGCUCAUCACUUAGACAAAAUUUCUCAGCUACCCACUGAAGUAACCCACGGAGAGAAUUAUAGAUGAAGGGAAAGUGGGAGUCAGUCAUUCACGAAUCACAAG